GACGAACGCUGGCGGCGUGCUUAACACAUGCAAGUCGAGCGGUAAGGCCCUUUCGGGGGUACACGAGCGGCGAACGGGUGAGUAACACGUGGGUGACCUGCCCUCAGCUCUGGGAUAAGCCUGGGAAACUGGGUCUAAUACUGGAUAUGACUCCACGGUGCAUGUCGUGGGGUGGAAAGCCUUGUGCGGCUGAGGAUGGGCCCGCGGCCUAUCAGCUUGUUGGUGGGGUGANGGCCUACCAAGGCGACGACGGGUAGCCGGCCUGAGAGGGCGACCGGCCACACUGGGACUGAGACACGGCCCAGACUCCUACGGGAGGGCAGCAGUGGGGAAUCUUGCGCAAUGGGCGAAAGCCUGACGCAGCGACGCCGCGUGAGGGAUGACGGCCU
rnacentral:rRNA from 1 species